rnacentral:lncRNA from 1 species
GUGGUUAUUGUUUGCUUUAUGGAAGAUUGAGAGAAGUGUGAAGAAGGAUUUUUGCAUAAAAAUCGAGAUUUGUGGGUUUGUAGAAAAACUUGUAAGGAGGGUAACGUGUUGGUUAAAGGGGUUUGUUUUUUCUUGUAACAGUUUGCACAAUGGAUUAAUAUUGUGGUUUUAAUGGUGUUUUGGCGGAGCGAAAUAGACGGUAUG